GAUUGAUUGACGGCGUCGGCGUAUAUUUAAAAGUGAAGAAAGAGGACCAGUGGAAGAGCGGAGGCUUCUCCCAAUCCCACACUUUUCUCUACUGCCACCCUUUUUCAUUUCUUUUGCCAUUUUUUGCAUAUUACUUCUUUUUUCUUUUUGCAUCUCCAAAUUUAUUACACUUUCUUAAUCAAUCUCAAUUUCUAUAUUAAUAAUCAAUUUCCUUCCAAAAAUUAUUAAAAAAAAUAACCUUGAUUUUUCUGCCCACAAAACCCAAUAACCCAAGAAAAAUAAUCACCCAUUUCAGAUUCUGGGUUUCCAAAAUCAUAAAUCUCUAUUUCAAUUUCAUUUUCCAAAUCAAAAUCUUACAAUUUCUGCAUUUUUUCCCACAAAUUAGCAACUGGGUAUCAAAAAUUUGUUGCUUUUUAGCCGUUGCUGGGUUGAUUGGAGGAAGAUGUGAUUGAUUAGUGAUGAUCAGAAGGCAAAACUUGCAAUCAAUGGCUUUUUCUGUAGGGAAAGGAUUACCUGGGUUGUUUAAAAACGACACAGUUUCAUCUUCCCCUAGAAAGAUCUUUACUUCUAACAAUUCUCAUGGCUCAAGAAUUAAUGUUGCUAACAAUUGGUUUAGUUUGAAGGGUUGUUGUGCUGAUUUUAGGGAUAAAGUUCCCAACUUGAAGAGCAACGAUGUAAAUGUUGCUGGGUUUUACAAAACAAGGGUUUUUACUGUUUCUCAGCAACCAUUUUCAGAUAUGGAACUUCAGAUGCAGCAAGAAAUAAAAAAUAGUGGGAUUUCAGAUGUUAAUGGUGGAGCUCGUCAAAGAGGAGGUUUUACUGGCUGCUCUGAUGGUAGUUCUUUGCCUGAUAAGCUUGUUGUUGCUGUUGAUGUUGAUGAAGUCCUUGGGAACUUUGUCUCCGCUCUAAACAGAUUCAUUGCUGACCAUUAUUCCUCAAAUCACUCGGUGUCCGAAUAUCACAUUUAUGAGUUCUAUAAGAUUUGGAAUUGUUCGCGUGAUGAAGCUGAUAUCCGCGUUCACGAAUUUUUCAAGACUUCUUAUUUCAAGAAUGGGAUUUUUCCUCUUCCGGGAGCUCAAAGGGCCCUGAACAAACUAUCAAGAUUUUGCACUUUAUCUGUUGUCACGUCUCGUCAAAAUGUCAUUAAAGAUCACACUAUUGAGUGGCUUGAGAAGCAUUAUCCAGGACUCUUUGAGGAAAUUCACUUUGGUAAUCACUUUGCUCUAGAUGGAGAAUCAAAACCCAAGUCGGAGAUUUGCAGGUUAAUGGGUGCGAAGGUGUUGAUUGAUGAUAAUCCAGUAGUUUAGAGUGUGCUGAAGUUGGAAUAAGAGUGCUACUCUUUGAUUAUCAAAAUUCUUAUCCUUGGUGCAAAACUGGAUCAAACAAUCAACAUCCGCUUGUGACUAAAGUUCAUAACUGGGAAGAAGUAGAAGAACAACUAGUAUCUUGGAUGUUAUCGUCGCAUCUGUAACAUAGAAGAGUUCAAUUUUUGAAGGAGUUUAGUUUCUUUCAUCUUAAAUGAGAUGGUUGGCGAACAGAAGUAUAUGGAAUAGCUAAUAGGUUUCUUAAGCAGCGAAUUCAAUACUUGAAGCAUAGCAUCAUUGUUGUUCCCUUUCUAUUGGAAGUAAUUGUCUCUUUUAAAAGUUCAAGGGGAUUAGGUGAUUACUUAGUCACUUUAAAAAAGUUGGUGUGCAAUGUAGAAUUUCAGAAAACACAGGUUAUGGUGUAAUUAGAGAUUAAUUUGAAAACUUAAACUUGAGACUUGAAUUGAA